rnacentral:lncRNA from 1 species
UUUUUUUUUUUUUAAAGCAGGAGCAACCUCGAUUCCUCUCUUAUAACGAACCCCAACGAUUUACCGGAUUGCACUCUGAUAGUGCACUGACUUGAAUUCAACCUCAGUUUGAAUUGUUUCAACCGGUCACACGACUUGCCCCGGUCUGCCGAAUGCCCCCCUUCUGACUGGGACUUUGCUAUCAUGUCAUAGCAUUUGAUAUCAUGAUGAG